GCCUCACUUCUCCAGCGCAUCUGCAGUAGAUAGAAACACAUUUGGAAGAGAAACAUCAUAAGAUUAUUUGCCACAAAUAGACAAGAAGUUAUGUAAUCACAUGCACUAUCAUAGAAGACUAAAAGUACAUCCAUUAAUUGCCACAUAAUAUUUGGUUUGUAGAAGGACAAGGUUACAUAUUUUAUCAGAUAAAAACUUUAUUCACUAAUUCAGGAAAUGAUUAGAGACUCUACAGGAAUUAUAUGAAAUUUAAGGUACAUAAAACAUAACCAUGCCU
rnacentral:misc_RNA from 1 species